UGCCAAUCCUCUCUGGGAGCUAUUCAAAGAGGAGGAAGAAGAGGGAGUCCUGAGCAGUUUAGAACCUUGUGAAGUCUGAGGGAUGGACCAUCUCCCAUCGUCCAAGCCAGGAAUCAGGCCUUCCCCAAGCUUGUGCUGCCCCUCUCCUCUCUCCUUCCAAUCUGGUCGUCAGAUCUGUCAUGUUUGCUUCCCAGUGUCUAAGCUCCACCGUCUCUGUUCUCAUCCCCUCAUUAACUGUCAGCAGCAAUUGUAUGGAUUCCUCUGAAGACUGUGAACUUGAUCCCAUCAUUGAAGGAGACAGAUUUAAAAA
ensembl:sense_intronic Gm15903 predicted gene 15903